AACGAACGCUGGCGGCAGGCCUAACACAUGCAAGUCGAGCGAAGUCUUCGGACUUAGCGGCGGACGGGUGAGUAACGCGUGGGAACGUGCCCUUUGGUUCGGAAUAGCCCCGGGAAACUGGGAGUAAUACCGGAUGAGCUCUACGGAGGAAAGAUUUAUCGCCAAAGGAUCGGCCCGCGUUGGAUUAGGUAGUUGGUGGGGUAAUGGCCUACCAAGCCGACGAUCCAUAGCUGGUUUGAGAGGAUGAUCAGCCACACUGGGACUGAGACACGGCCCAGACUCCUACGGGAGGCAGCAGUGGGGAAUCUUAGACAAUGGGGGAAACCCUGAUCUAGCCAUGCCGCGUGAUCGAUGAAGGCCUUAGGGUUGUAAAGAUCUUUCAGUGGGGAAGAUAAUGACUGUACCCACAGAAGAAGCCCCGGCUAACUCCGUGCCAGCCGCCGCAGUAAAAC
rnacentral:rRNA from 1 species